ensembl:lncRNA
UGGUGUAGGUUUCAGUCCCUGGCCCGGGAAUUUUUAUUUAUUUAUUUAAUUUAAAAUUUGUUUGUUUGUUUGUUUUAAGGCCCCACCCACGGCAUACAGAAGUUCCCAGGCUAGGGGUCGAGUCAGAGCUGUAGCCCCCAGCCUAGGCCACAGCCACAGCAACUCGGGAACCGAGCUGCAUCUGAGACCUACGCCACAGUUCACGGCAAUACUGGAUCCUUAACCCACUGAGCAAGGCCAGGGAUCAAACCCACAUCUUCAUGGAUACUAGUCGUGUUCGUUAAACACAGAGCCACGACGGGAGCUCUGCGGCCCCAGAAUUUUUAUAUGUACGGGUGCAGCCCAAAAAACCCCAAAGAGUUGGAGCCCCCACUUCUCUCUACCCUUAGAAACUCCCCCAACCUGUUCCUCCUCCUAACCCCCACCCACUGGCUCCCCAGUUUAAGGAAUGGGCUGGGAACCGGAACCGGAAUCUGGUGAGGGAGGCGGGGUCAGGCCCUGGAGUACCGGGAGGCCUGGCGGGGGAGAGGGCCCGGGGCUCAAUUGUCCUGGGAAGAGAAGCGGCAGGGUGGGGUCCACUGGUCAGCCUCUGUCACCCCUCAGGCCUGGCAGGGAUCUUGAGCCCUCAGAAGUCAGGGGAGUCCAUCCCUGCCCCUCUCUGCCCACCCCCAAGCCUCCCUCACACCCCAGUCCCUGCCCUCAUGCCUGCAUACCCUUCCUCCCAGGCAGGGAGUGGGCUGCAGGGGGCAGCAGGUGGAUUGAGGAGGGAGAGCGGACUCAGUCCAGGGAAGGGGCUGCUCGGGUCUGAAGCGGUCUCUCUGCCUCCCCUGCAGGUCUGGGAGGGGGUUUGAAGCCGCAGAAGCCAGGUCCCUGCAGUGGUAGGGUCCCUCCACUGCUUCUUGCCAGGCCUCCCACUCCGGGGGUCCCUUCUGAGAAAGAGGGUGGCUGGGGCCUGAAAUCCCAGCCCCCUCCCCCAGUGCAGGACGGCAAUUUCCCAGUACCUUCUCCAGCCAUCCAGUGGGGACCGAAGCCUCCGAAAGCAGGGUACCAGCCUGCGCUCGGCUACAGACCAGGAGUGGAACUGGGUGAGGAGGCCCUCUGCCUGCGUCCUCCCUUUCCCCUCCUCCCCUCCCCUCUUCCUCCCCUCCCCUCCCUGUCCUCCCCCAGCCCAGGAAGCACAGAGGCAAACCGAGCUCUCCGACCCCUGUGUCUUCUCCCCCAGGCUUCAGCGGUGGCUUUAAGCCCCAGAAAGUCGGUGAGCCCCCCGGACCCCCACCUUGGGCACGAGCUGCAGCUCCCUCAGGACGAGCCCUCUGUGUGUGUCUGUCUGUCCUCUGUGUGUGUGUGUGUGUGUGUGUGUGUGUGUGUGUCUGUCUGUCUGUCCGUAUUCCCCCAGCACUUAUGUACUGUGCCCUCGGCCACCGUGGUGGCCAGAGUCGGUGGGAUCCUGCCCCAGGCGAGGGUAGUGACAGACUGAGGCAGGUGGAAAGGGACAUGCCCAGCGGGAGUCCAGGACGGCUUCCGGAAGGUGGGGCACCGGGUGAGCUGGCCGAUGGGAGGGAAUGAGGGGCUCCUCUCCAGGUUGCCUCUGAGUCUGUCUGUCUGGUCCUCCCCGUUUCGUGCCCUGUCUGUGAGCAGGUUACCCUGGCCCCACCCUCAGUGCUGCCCCCACCCCGACCAGCCCCUCUCCCGCAGGUUUUGGUUACAGGAAUGGUGCUCUGGGAGCUGGGCUCUUCCUGGAAGCCCGCCCACAGCCAGGGUUCCCUGGGGCUGAUGGCUUUAGGAAUGGGUUCAGGGGGGAGGAAGCACUGGUGCACCCCGAAGUGGCAGCUCCAGCCCCUGAAGGAAAUGGUCAGGCCAGGGCCCUGAGGGGCUCUCCCUGGCCCUCCCUGCACUCCUGGGGGGCUGCCCUGAAGGCCAGAUAUGGAGCUGGAAAUGCACUUCCAGAGGUCCAGAGCCAGCCAGGACGCUGCCCUCUCGGGAAGUGCUGAGCUCCGCUGAGAUCCACGGCCUGUCCUGAAGGCCUGUGUUGGAGCCUGGUCAGCUAGGCAAGACUGGCCGUACCCUGGGGCUCAGUCUCUGGCCUGGGGGCUCCCGUGGCUGGAAGUGUCAAUAAAGGCAGUGAGCU